AGUGAACGCUGGCGGCAGGCCUAACACAUGCAAGUCGAACGGCAGCACAAGAGAGCUUGCUCUCUGGGUGGCGAGUGGCGGACGGGUGAGGAAUGCAUCUGAAUCUGCCCAUUUGUGGGGGAUAACCUCGGGAAACCGGGACUAAUACCGCAUACGACCUACGGGUGAAAGCAGGGGAUCUUCGGACCUUGCGCAGAUGGAUGAGCCGAUGCCGGAUUAGCUAGUUGGAGGGGUAAAGGCCCACCAAGGCGACGAUCCGUAGCUGGUCUGAGAGGAUGAUAAGCCACACUGGGACUGAGACACGGCCCAGACUCCUACGGGAGGCAGCAGUGGGGAAUAUUGGACAAUGGGCGAAAGCCUGAUCCAGCCAUGCCGCGUGUGUGAAGAAGGCCUUCGGGUUGUAAAGCACUUUUGUUGGGAAAGAAAAGCAGCCGGUUAAUACCCGGUUGUCAUGACGGUACCCAAAGAAUAAGCACCGGCUAACUUCGG
rnacentral:rRNA from 1 species